GACUCUUUAGUUCAGUUGGUUAGAACGGCAGCCUGUUAAGCUGUAGGUCCCAGGUUCAAGUCCUGGAAGAGUCG
rnacentral:tRNA from 1 species